rnacentral:rRNA from 1 species
AUGACCGCCGCACCUCCCGCAGCCCCCCGCCGACUCGCCGCUGUCCAGGAGGUCCCUGACGCCGCCACCGCCGGCCAUCGGCUCCUCGCGCCCCGAGCGCAUCCGCGACCACCGCACCUCCCGCAGCCCCCCGCCGCGCCGGCGCCACUCGCCACCAUCCAGGAGGUCCCGUCGCCGCCCUUCAAGUGGUCCUGGCAGGACGAUGGGUACGACCACCGAGGAGGCCGCGGCAGCCCCCCACCACGAGGGGUCGUAAGGUUUCAUGGUGUUGCUUCUACAGGUACGACCGAGGAGGAGGCAGAGGUGGGUAUGAUGAUGACCGGCACCACGGCAGGCAUCGUGCUUCAGGUGAGGAUUUGCCCUUCUUCAUUCAGAAUUCAAUCCUAUCGAUCAGUCUCCAAAAAUUGGCCUGAUUCUAGAUUUGGGGCACCGAAUGAUGGUCCUGGGAAUACCCAAAGCUGUGCUAAUCUCCUGGCUCCUUGCCCUGAUGGACACCACACAACUGCACUGCAACCUGCAGUUCUUUCCCUGCUCACCAUGACCCGCCUCCUCAUCUUUAUCCGAGAUAAAGGCUUCCUUACACGGCGAAGUGGGCGGAUGCGAAAAACAACAGGAGUUAGAGAAAGGCACACCUUGAGCUUACCAUUUCCUGAGUGCCAAAGAAAGCCCAAAACGGCCGAUGUUGCUUCUCAGGCGGCGACAACAGCAUCUGCCUCAGGGAUAGCAACUGGCGAGAGCGGCACACCAGUUGUCCAUUCCGCAGCGGCGGCCUUAGCCCUGAUGGAGGCUGCCCACUACCAUGUCGAGGCCGUCCACGCCCAGCUCGUGGCGAUCACCACACAAAUCAAACGAAGUUUCUCCGACAACAGUCGGCAACCCACGGAUGAAGAGUUGGCAAUUGCCGAGAGAGUUCGAGCAGCUACCCGUUCCUGUGCGGCAUACCUUGCCACGACGGAGCCCGCCAAAGCCCAGAUCACGGCCGCCCACGCCCAGCUCGUGGCGGCCUAUUCCAAAGAUAUGGCGGACGCGGAUGGCGAGAUGCUUGCCGAGUAUGAUGAGCUGGCUAACCUGCCAAGCCCUGCACGCGCUUCCAGUCCUUUGCAGGAGGAAAAUGUCAUCUCAACACAUACAAUGGACGAUGCAGAGGUGACCAUCACUGGAGAGGCCCACAAGGUCACAAAAACUUCGGAUGCCUUGGCCAAAAUUAUGGCCAAGGAUGAGCUGGCCAUGUUGUCAAAGGGGAAAGCUAAACUAGAGCUCCCAAAUUUUGACAAGGUCAGCGCCACUGAUCUCCAUCAAGAAUAUCUGGCCCGGCUAUCUGAGAGCUGGGAUGCUGAGAUGAACAUAGAUAUGCUAGAUCUGGCCGAGUCAAAAGCUGACGGCUUGCAAGAGCAAUUGAAGACGGAGCGAAAGCUUCGGAAGAGAAAUGACAAUGCUGUCCAGCUGCCUCUGGUGAACUUGAAGGCAGUUUAUACUUAUCUUGAGCAGUUAUACACGAGGGGUGCCUAUGCAAUAAUGGCAGUGAAGAGUGCCGCAACACCCCCUCAACGGAGCAAGGAUUUUCUCAAUGACUUAUCAACAGUGCCUCAGCAGAUUGAGGAGCUGAAGAAAUCGGCGGCUCGUGCUGGUACCGGCAUGUACUUUGCGUUCUUCAGAGAUGAACCCGGGUUUGUAGAUAAUAACCCGGGUUAUGUUGACACCUCGAUCAACUGA